GACGAACGCUGGCGGCGUGCCUAAUACAUGCAAGUGGGACGCAAGGAAACACACUGUGCUUGCACACCGUGUUUUCUUGAGUCGCGAACGGGUGAGUAACGCGUAGGUAACCUGCCUAUUAGCGGGGGAUAACUAUUGGAAACGAUAGCUAAUACCGCAUAAUAUUAAUUAUUGCAUGAUAAUUGAUUGAAAGAUGCAAGCGCAUCACUAGUAGAUGGACCUGCGUUGUAUUAGCUAGUUGGUAAGGUAAGAGCUUACCAAGGCGACGAUACAUAGCCGACCUGAGAGGGUGAUCGGCCACACUGGGACUGAGACACGGCCCAGACUCCUACGGGAGGCAGCAGUAGGGAAUCUUCGGCAAUGGACGAAAGUCUGACCGAGCAACGCCGCGGGAGUGAAGAAGGUUUUCGGAUCGUAAAGCUCUGUUGUAAGUCAAGAACGUGUGUGAGAGUGGAAAGUUCACACAGUGACGGUAGCUUACCAGAAAGGGACGGCUAACUACGUG
rnacentral:rRNA from 1 species